rnacentral:rRNA from 1 species
UGGGGAAUAUUGCACAAUGGAGGGAACUCUGAUGCAGCGACGCCGCGUGAACGAAGAAGGCUUUCGAGUCGUAAAGUUCUUUUAUAUGGGAAGAUAAUGACGGUACCAUAAGAAGAAGCCCCGGCUAACUACGUGCCAGCAGCCGCGGUAAUACGUAGGGGGCUAGCGUUGUCCGGAAUCACUGGGCGUAAAGGGUUCGCAGGCGGAAAUGCAAGUCAGGUGUAAAAGGCAGUAGCUUAACUACUGUAAGCAUUUGAAACUGCAUAUCUUGAGAAGAGUAGAGGUAAGUGGAAUUUUUAGUGUAGCGGUGAAAUGAGUAGAUAUUAAAAAGAAUACCGGUGGCGAAGGCGACUUACUGGGCUCAUUCUGACGCUGAGGAACGAAAGCGUGGGUAGCAAACAGG